AUUGAACGCUGGCGGCAGGCCUAACACAUGCAAGUCGAGCGGAUGAAGGGAUCUUGCUCCUGUAUUCAGCGGCGGACGGGUGUGUAAUGCCUAUUAAUCUUCCUGGUAGUGGGGGAUAACUUCCGGAAACGGGCUCUAUUCCCGCAUACGUUCUGUGCGAGAAGGUGGGGGAUCUUCAGCUCUCACGCUUUCAGAUGAUCCUGGGUCUGAUUAUCUUGUUGGUGGGGUAAAGGCCUACCAAGGCGACGAUCCGUAACUGGUCUGAGAGGAUGAUCAGGCACACAGGAACUGAGACACGGGACAGACUCCGACGGGAGGCAGAAGUGGGGAAUAUUGGAAAAUGGGCGAAAGACUGAACAAGCCAUGCAGCGUGGGUGAAGAAGGUCUUCGGAUUGGAAAGCACUUUAAGUGGGGAGGAAGGGCAGUAAGUGAAUACCUGGCUGUUUUGACGGUACCAACAGAAUAAGCACCGGCUAACUUCGUG
rnacentral:rRNA from 1 species